GGGUAGAUCUCCCACCCUUUGCUAACCAAACAUUGUUGCUUUGUCUGGCCCGACUCUCGGGUCCGCCGGCCUUCGGGCUGGUCAGUGCCGGACAGAGGAAACUAAAACCUUUAUCACUGUCGUCAGAGUACUAUAUAAUAGUUAAAACUUUCAACAACGGAUCUCUUGGUUCUGGCAUCGAUGAGAACGCAGCAGAACACAUUAAUGAGAACGUGCCCUCACGGGUAGAUCUCCCCCCUUUG
rnacentral:misc_RNA from 1 species